AAGACUAUACUUUACAGGAUCAUUUCUGUAGUAGUAUAGUUCUUCCUACUUCCAAUCUUGGAGAGUCCUACCCACGAUGAUGAGGAUCUCCUCUCUUCGGAGCGUGAGGCAGACAGGUUGAUCGGCCAUGAUUAGCUAUGUCAUCGAUGAUCGCAACCCCAGGGGGUUAGGAGAGAGGUUCUCUGAGUGGU
rnacentral:snoRNA from 1 species